AAAAAUUAGGAACAGCCCGUAGGCACACUGUAGAGCCGAUUUCAGACUCCGAAACAAGUAAGGACCCCUCACCCUAUUUCUUAUCACAGUAUUAAAGCUUAAUAAAUAAUUAAAUGGUAUUUUGGGACUUUAUAGAUGUGAAAUUGAUUAAGGCUGCCAAUGGAGCCCGAAUCUGGUACAUUGUUGGUCAGUUGUCGUUUGAUCUAUUUUUCAGUAUUAAAUGCAGUAUGAUGUUUGAUGU
rnacentral:lncRNA from 1 species